rnacentral:rRNA from 1 species
AGUCACUGACAUUAGAUACCCGGGUAGUCCAGGGUGUAAACGCUGCAGACUUGGUGUUGAAGGCCCUUUGGGGGCAUUCAGUGCCGGAGAGAAGUUGUUAAGUCUGCUACUUGGGGAGUACGUCCGCAAGGAUGAAACUUAAAGGAAUUGGCGGGGGAGCACCGCAACGGGAGGAGCGUGCGGUUUAAUUGGAUUCAACACCGUAAACUCACCAGGGAAGACUGUUACAUGAAGGCCGAGAUGAAGACUCUGCUAGAUUUUCAG